GUCAACCACCCGACGCCGAUCGAGCACGGGUACGGCGCGGGCUUGAAAAAGCCCGACAGUUGACCAGGCUAAGUCCUUUACAGACUCCGUUAUCGAGGUCACGACACCGAUAAGUUAGCCAGCUUGUUGCUCUGUC
rnacentral:sRNA from 23 species